rnacentral:lncRNA from 1 species
UCCUGAAGAAUCGUCUCAAAUGUAUACAAAUCCUGGCAUUUAAUUGUGGGAAUGGAUCUGCUACUGUGCACAAAACUUCUUGGAGAUCAACAACAAUCCAAAGGCAGAAGGGAAGAUAAUUAGAAAUUGAGGAUGGGAAAGAGGAAGAGAGAAGAAAUAAUGACUUUCAGAGGACUUUCUCUCCCUUAGAACAAAAUGAAAAGGAACACCUAAAAUACUCAGCAUGUGGUACUUUUGUCUCUGCUUUCUUACCUUGGGCCCUGUGAUUCUUAUUAAGAAUAGUGAUUGUCCUAUAUGUCCAGCUUCCUCUAUUUAUGAGGUAACAGAAUUAAUUUCUUCCUCAAGUCCCAUUACUGGCAUUGCUUUCUUCUUGACCAAAGCUGAGUUCUGCACCAAUGCUGAGUCUUCUCAUUUUGUAAAAUAUUUAUGGUCAUAAUCCACAGUCAUAUAGGAUAGUGGUCCUAUAAGAUUACAAUACUGUAUUUUUACUAUACCUUUUCUAUGUUUAGUUUUGUUUAGAUAUACAAAUACUUACCAUUAUGUUACAGUUGCCUAUAGUAUUCAGGACAGUAGCAUGCCAUGCAAGUUUGUAGCCUAGGAGCAAUAGGCUACACUAUAUAGCCUAGGUGAAUUGUAGGCUAUGCCGUCUAGUUUUGUGUAAAUGUACUCUUUGAUGUUGCCUCAAUGAUGAUGUCACCUAACAGUGCAUUUAUCAGAAGUGCCCCCAUCAAUACACAUGACUGUAUUUGGUCUUCUUCCUAAUUUCCUGAUAUAUGACUACUAAAACCUUAAAAUCUCCUAAGUUAUAAGAGCGUCUUUUUUAUGCUAAUGAUAUGACUGGUGGCUGGAGACCCCUAGAUAGCUUCAGGAUGGGAGCUGGUCACCAGAAAGACCAAGGGUUGAUUAGAGAGAGUUGGGGCUUUCAACCCCACCCUCCAAUUUCCAGGGAGAGGAGGGAGGCUAUAGGUCACAUUGAUCACCAAUGGCAAAUAAUUUGAUCAAUCAUGUCUACAUAAUGAAACCUCCUUAAAAACUCAAAAGAAGAGAGCUCAGAGAGCUUCCAUAUAGCUUUACAAUGGAGGUUCCUGAAGGGUAGUGCACCAGGAGAGGACGUGGAAACUGCACCCUUUCUCCCAUACCUUACCCUAGGCACCUCCUUCAUCUGGCAAUUCAUCUGUAUCCUUUGUAAUAUGCUUUAUAAU